UACUUAAUAUUUCAAAACUGAACUUGAACCUUUUCUGUGAAACUUAUUUGUCCUCCUGUAUUUCCUACUGAAGGACACAACCAAAUAAAAAGAGUUAAACUGGAAGAAAACCAUAGUUCCACCAUCAAGAUUCUAAAUGAGAGGACUACACUUUCCCAUCAUGAAUGUGAAAAUCUUUUUCCUUUUUUAAAAUCAGAAGACUAUAUUGUUAGGCUCAUAUGAUUUCAUAUUAUAUUAUCACAUUAUUCUUGUUAAUGUUCUUUGGCUUAAAUUCUCUUCUGGCUAAUAUCAAUAAACACCUGCUUUAUUUUGGGAAGAGGGAAUUUGGGCAGUCUCUUGGCAAAAGGAAUAUUUGACCCAGUGUUUAUUUGGAGAGAAGAAACUCACAG